UCCUUGGUGGUCCUGUGGCUAAGACUCUGUACUCCCAAUGCAGGGGGCUGGGUUUGACUCCUGGUCAGGGAU
rnacentral:tRNA from 1 species